AUGUUCGUGGUGUGGUGGUUUGAAGCAUGGGACUAUGACUCUGGAGAUCAGGGUUCAAUUCCCUGCUCGAGCAUA